rnacentral:rRNA from 1 species
CUCAAAGAUUAAGCCAUGCAAGUGGUUAUAUUAACCCGACAGUUUAAAUAAGUGUUAAAUGCUACUAAAAUUUAUACACGCAUAAAUGUUUACAGUAGUAACAAUUUCAUAGCGUGAAUCAUAAGUGAUUCAUACUGAAUUAAAUAUCAGUAUCACUUACGCAACUGCAGACAGCUGCUUAAUACAGUCACACUUGUCUUGACUUGGCACGAUAAAAAUAUUUUCUUUCUGUCGUAAAUUUUACGCGUAAAGAUUUAUUUUUUAUUAAUUUUUUGCUAAUUUACACACACACAAAUACACGCACAAAAUUAAAAAUUUUGAUUUCUCUGUAACGCUAUUCAAUAUAAAUUAUUACGUUACACCGUGAAAAUUUCUUUUUGGAUAACUCAGGGAAAGUUUGGCUAAUACGUACGAGUUUUUUAACCUACACACACACACACACACACAUUACAUUCAAAAUUUUAUAUUUUGGUAUGUUACCAUUUUACUACUCAGCACAUAUUGGUAAAUUUUGGUUUACACAGUAAACCUGUUUAAAAUUUAACUGCAACAUGAGAGACAAUAUGUACGCACGUAUAUUUACUUCGGUAUUUAUACAUUACGCUGAGCAGACUUUGCGAAGUUUACUUUGCGAAGCAGGUCAUACAAGCAUCUACAGCAUCAAGUCACAGGGUUGGCAAGUGUAUUUUUGAACCUUCAAAGCAGUCACGCAUACGGAAGAGUAGUUUCUGAUCCCAUAGAAGGAGCACCGUACAUUGAGAGACCGCUCUUAGUUCUAAGGAACGCAGCAGGCGCGUAAAUUGCCCAAUGCUAGUACCCUACAAUAUAUUUUAUAUGUAAUAAACGCAUUACAAUUUACAAUAAACAAAAUUAAUUUUAUUAAUUUUAGCUAUUCAUUAUAACACUUCAAUUUUACUGUUAAAAUUUAAAAAAUUAUCCUUGUUCAUUGUUUUUACUCGUAUAUAAAUAUUAUUUAUUUACUGAGGCAGUGACAAGCUGUAACGGUUGAGUAUAAAAAUGACGAGUGUCUGGCAUUGCCGUCUGCUUCGGUAGGCUUGGCAGUUCGCCGACGCUUUGUGUGCUCAAUUGGAAUGCGGUGAGUUUAAGCAACUCAGAACCUUUGUAUGGUGUUUGUAAAAUUUCACUAUGCAUGUAUCUGAAUUUCAAGUGGAGGGCAAGUCUGGUGCCAGCAGCCGCGGUAAUACCAGCUCCACUGGCCUAUACAAUNNUUGUNGNUAAGAGGCUCGUAGUUGGAUUGNNNNGNAAACAAUAAAUAAUAAAUUAAAUUUAUUUAAUUUAAUUGUUUGACAAGUUUUACGCACAUUAGGCCAUAAAAUUAAAUAUUUAUUUUUUUGGCUGUCCGACUGUGCGUUCGACGCUGUUAAAUUUUAUUAAUUUUUUUUUACGCACACACACACGCACAAAAAUUAAAAUUAUUAAUUUGCCGUAUAAAAAUUACGCGCUUAAAUUUAAUUUACAAUUUCAACACUGUGAACAAAUCAGAGUGUAUCAAACAUGUCGUUUUUGAAUGUGCAUUGAAUGUCUUAUCAUGGAAUGUUGCACUUUUAAUUUUUAAAUUUACUGUAUUAAAAUAAAAAUUUUUUACGCGCACACACACACACACACACGCAAUAUAAAANUUUUUUAAUUGACGCAGAGNCNUGUAUUGAUAUUAUUUUUAUUGNUAAAUUUUUUAACAGNUAAAAAUGUCGAUGGGGAUAGUUGGAGUCAAGAGUACUGUUGGGCGAGAGGUGAAAUUCAUUGACCCUAGCAAGACUACCAAAAGCGAAAGCNCUUGGCUAGGCUAUACUCUUUGUGAUUGAAUAAAAAAAAUUAAUUAUUUACACACGCAUAAAAAAUAAUUUUUUUUUAUUUAUACACUUUACAAUGAAGAACGAAGGUGGGGGGAUCAAAGAGGAUCAGAUACCCUCGUCGUCCCAUUAAUUACAUCAACGAUGGGCUCUCAAUUGCAUUUAUUUAUUAAAUUGCUAAUGCCCUCAGCCUACAAAAUAAAUUGGCUUGAGCUCGUAUUUUUAUACGCUCGCCUAACUUUUUUCGUACGGUCUCGAUGGACGUUUCAUUUAAACUUUUUUUUGCGUGUAAGCAUUUGUUAUUCUUUGAAACAUAAGAAUGCAUUGCGUGCACUUGAUUUUCGGAGCUUUGCGCUCAAUUCUGGUGAGAUGUAAGCACUAUACUGUUACUAUCCGCAGCGUUCAUCUUCGGAUGAUUUGUCUGUCGUGUAUAGUCGGUAAUUUUUGGUGUGAAGCACGCCUUAGGCACGCGCUUACUGCAGAAAUGUCUGAGACAUUCCCCUCCGGGGGUAGUAUGCACGCAAGUGUGAAACUUGAAGGAAUUGACGGAAGGGCACCACAAGAACGCGUGGAGCAUGUGGCUUAAUUUGACUCAACGCGGGAAAUCUUACCGGGUCCGGACACACUGAGGAUUGACAGGCACUAUUAAAUUUUUAUGAAUNAUAUUCAUAAUAUUUAUGUUAAAUAUGCUAGUCCUUUCNUGAUUAUGUGAUAGGUGGUGCAUGGCCGUUCUUAGUUCGUGGAGUGAUCUGUCUGCUUAAUUGCGUUUCACUAAGGGCUUAAAAAUUACGUGUGUUGUAUUGUUUUUUGACCCCUAUCGUUGAAAUAUUACGUGUAGUGCGUGUCUUAAAUUGCGAUACUCACACAAUUAAGUCCUGAAAGCAACGAACGUGACCGCAACCUCUUGUUGCCUUUACAUUUAAACGCGUGUUAUGUAUUUUUAUACAUUUCACGUAAAAAAAGGCUUUUAAACUAGAGGGACCGCUGUAACUUUUUUAAACCAGAGGAAGGUUGCGGCAAUAACAGGUCUGUGAUGCCCUUAGAUGUUCCGGGCUGCACACGUGCUACAAUGAUUAUUGCAGUGAGCAUCUCAUUUAUUACACACCGCAUGCGCGUGUCCAAUUAUUUACGUACUAUUUCAGUGCGUACUUUAAUUGUGUACAUUGCGCGCGGUAAAGCCUGCUUCGAAAGUAAGUGGGUAAUCAAUUAGAAGUAAUGAUUUCCCAAUUUAUAGCACACAUAUAUACGGCAUCUUUACCCCGCUUGCGCUUGUCGUAAGUUUUGUGCGUAUCGAUGUUUUUUCCGUAUGUGCAAUUGUCAAUUCAUGGUGGGGACAGACCAUUGUUAAUUGUUGGUCUCGGUCUUAACUAGGAAUGCCUUGUACGGGUCUUUGGUUCAACAAACCACCCGGAAUACGUCCCUGCCCUUUGUACACACCGCCCGUCGCUCUUACCGAUGGACUUCUCUGUGAGUUUGAGGGACUGGGUACCUGUAAAAAUUUAUUUUUACUAAUAUCACCUAUGGAAACUUAAACGAACAGUGUGGUCUAAAGGAAAGAGAAGUCGAACAAGGCAU